rnacentral:rRNA from 1 species
AACGAACGCUGGCGGCAGGCCUAACACAUGCAAGUCGAGCGCGGACUUCGGUUCUAGCGGCGGACGGGUGAGUAACGCGUGGGAAUGUGCCCUUCUCUACGGAAUAGCCCCGUGAAACUGGGAGUAAUACCGUAUACGCCCUCUUGGGGAAAGAUUUAUCGGAGAAGGAUCAGCCCGCGUUGGAUUAGGUAGUUGGUGGGGUAAUGGCCUACCAAGCCGACGAUCCAUAGCUGGUUUGAGAGGAUGAUCAGCCACACUGGGACUGAGACACGGCCCAGACUCCUACGGGAGGCAGCAGUGGGGAAUCUUAGACAAUGGGGGCAACCCUGAUCUAGCCAUGCCGCGUGAGUGAUGAAGGCCUUAGGGUUGUAAAGCUCUUUCAGCUGGGAAGAUAAUGACGGUACCAGCAGAAGAAGCCCCGGCUAACUCCGUG